rnacentral:rRNA from 1 species
CCUACGGGGGGCAGCAGUGAGGAAUAUUGGUCAAUGGUCGUGAGCCUGAACCAGCCAAGUAGCGUGAAGGAUGACUGCCCUACGGGUUGUAAACUUCUUUUAUAAAGGAAUAAAGUGCGGCACGUGUGCCUUUUUGUAUGUACUUUAUGAAUAAGGACCGGCUAACUCCGUGCCAGCAGCCGCGGUAAUACGGAGGGUCCGGGCGUUAUCCGGAUUUAUUGGGUUUAAAGGGAGCGUAGGGGGGUUGUUAAGUCAGUUGUGAAAGUUUGUGGCUCAACCGUAAAAUUGCAAUUGAUACUGGCAUGCUUGAGUACCAGUGAGGUAGGCGGAAUUCGUGGUGUAGCGGUGAAAUGCUUAGAUAUCACGAAGAACUCCGAUUGCGAAGGCAGCAUACUAAACUGCCACUGACGUUGAUGCUCGAAAGUGUGGGUAUCAAACAGGAUUAGAUACCCUAGUAGUC